rnacentral:lncRNA from 1 species
GUGCAGGAUGCAACUAUGCAUUAAAACAUACUGUCAUAUUUUUCGAAAUUUUCUCAAAAUCCAUGUGUUAACCCCUUUGAAAAUAUUGAGUUUUUGGUAAAUACUUUAUAUACUUAAAGCCUAUAAUCUUUAGUGUUGUUUUAAAAUUUCUAACCACAUUCAACAUUUGUAUUAAUAUAUUUCAAGUUCUUUUUCAUGGUAUAUAAGAAUCGUUAUAAUUUUUUUAUCAAUUAAUCUAGUAAAACUUCAUAAUACUCCCUAAAUCGAUGGAAUAACCACUAUAAAAUAAUAAUUUUCUCGAAAAACGGAGACAACAAAGGCUCCAAAACUCUUUGAACAUCAUCAUAUUUUUGUGCAGGAUACAACUAUGCAUUAA